UACGAAGGGGGCGAGCGUUGUUCGGAUUUACUGGGCGUAAAGGGCGCGCAGGCGGCUCUUCAAGUCAGGCGUGAAAGCCCCCGGGCUCAACCUGGGAACUGCGUUUGGGACUGGAGGGCUAGAGAUCGGGAGAGGAGAGUGGAAUUCCCAGUGUAGAGGUGAAAUUCGUAGAUAUUGGGAAGAACACCGGUGGCGAAGGCGGCUCUCUGGACCGAUACUGACGCUGAGGCGCGAAAAGCGUGGGGGAGCAAACAGG
rnacentral:rRNA from 1 species